rnacentral:rRNA from 1 species
GACGAACGCUGGCGGCGUGCUUAACACAUGCAAGUCGAACGGAAAGGCCCUUCGGGGUACUCGAGUGGCGAACGGGUGCGUAACACGUGGGUGAUCUUCCCUUCACUUUGGGAUAAGCCUGGGAAACUGGGUCUAAUACCGAAUAGGACCACGCGCUUCAUGGUGUGUGGUGGAAAGCUUUUGCGGUGUGGGAUGGGCCCGCGGCCUAUCAGCUUGUUGGUGGGGUAAUGGCCUACCAAGGCGACGACGGGUAGCCGGCCUGAGAGGGUGACCGGCCACACUGGGACUGAGAUACGGCCCAGACUCCUACGGGAGGCAGCAGUGGGGAAUAUUGCACAAUGGGCGCAAGCCUGAUGCAGCGACGCCGCGUGAGGGAUGACGGCCUUCGGGUUGUAAACCUCUUUCAAUAGGGACGAAGCGCAAGUGACGGUACCUAUAGAAGAAGCACCGGCUAACUACGUG